rnacentral:misc_RNA from 1 species
CGCACAUUGCGCCCCGUGGUAUUCCGCGGGGCAUGCCUGUUCGAGCGUCAUUUACACCAACUCCCGCUUCGGCGGGGUCUUGCGGUACGCCAUCUCGGCGGCUGCUAAAUCUAGUGGCGGUGCCCUACGGCUCUCAGCGUAGUAAUUCUUCUCGCUGUCGAUGUCCGGAGGUGCCCUAGCCAGUAACCCCAAAUUUUAUUAGGUUGACCUCGGAUCAGGUAGGGAUACCCGCUGAACUUAA